CCUACGGGAGGCAGCAGUGAGGAAUAUUGGUCAAUGGCCGGAAGGCUGAACCAGCCAAGCCGCGUGACGGACUAAGGUGCCAAGCAUUGUACACUUCUUUUGUCAAGGUACAAAAUCAGGCUCGAGAGCCUGACCGCGGGUACUUGAAGAAAAAGCAUCGACUAACUCCGUGCCAGCAGCCGCGGUAAUACGGAGGAUGCGAGCGUUAUCCUGAUUUAUUGGGUUUAAUGUGUGCGUAGGCGGAGUGUUAAGUCAGCGGUAAAAGCCCGGGGCUCAACCCCGGCGAGCCGUUGAAACUGGCUGUCUUGAGAUGUCGAGAGGUAUGCGGAAUGCGCAGUGUAGCGGUGAAAUGCGUAGAUAUUGCGAAGAACUCCGAUUGCGAAGGCAGCAUACCGGCGGCGAUCUGACGCUGAGGCACGAAAGCGUGGGUAUCGAACAGGAUUAGAUACACUGGUAGUC
rnacentral:rRNA from 1 species